rfam:Capsicum annuum cultivar Zunla-1 chromosome 11, whole genome shotgun sequence
CUGAUGAUGGUGAGGACAAUUACAGAGCAUAGACUUACAUCUUUUCCAUGCUUGGUAUAGAUUCUCUCCAUCUUUCUGCCUGAAACUCAGAAUUUCACUUCUCAUCCG